rnacentral:rRNA from 1 species
CAGCAGUAGCCGCGGUAAUACGUAGGUGGCAAGCGUUGUCCGGAAUUAUUGGGCGUAAAGGGCUCGCAGGCGGUUUCUUAAGUCUGAUGUGAAAGCCCCCGGCUCAACCGGGGAGGGUCAUUGGAAACUGGGAAACUUGAGUGCAGAAGAGGAGAGUGGAAUUCCACGUGUAGCGGUGAAAUGCGUAGAGAUGUGGAGGAACACCAGUGGCGAAGGCGACUCUCUGGUCUGUAACUGACGCUGAGGAGCGAAAGCGUGGGGAGCAAACAGGAUUAGAUACCCCUGUAGUCCCUGUCUCUUAUAC